rnacentral:misc_RNA from 1 species
UCAAACUUGGUCAUUUAGAGGAAGUAAAAGUCGUAACAAGGUUUCCGUAGGUGAACCUGCGGAAGGAUCAUUACCGAGUUCGGUACCCUCUGGGUACCUACUCCCACCAUCUGUGUACCCAUUCUUGUUGCUUUGGCGGGGCGUGGCUAACGCCCCUCCGGCUCCGGCUGGAGAGCACCCGCCAGAGGUUUUUAAAACUCGAUUUAACAGAAGUCUGAGUAAAAAUUAAAAAAUCAAAACUUUCAACAACGGAUCUCUUGGUUCUGGCAUCGAUGAAGAACGCAGC